GUCCUUGGAAUUUUGAAAACCACCUAUUUCUACUCAGGUACUUAAUUUCCUAUGAGGGGGUCACCCAUGAUAUUUGUGUGUGUGUGUGUGUGUGUGUGUGUGUGUGUGUGUGUGUGUGUGUGUGUGUGUAGACCCAUGACAUUUUUGUCAAAUCAGUUUCCAUAUAUGUGUGUCUUUGUUCCAGGUCUCCAUCCAAAGAAUGGUCAAUAUUAGAAUCACAUUUUCCUGUUUUGUAUUUGUCACCUCAAAUAACUCGGCCCAGCAGUUUUCCAUUCCAGAACUCCAGAACUCCAUCCUGCUCUACUUAAUUUAUAUCCUCCCUUAUUCUUGUCUCUGGCUUUUCACUGCCUUUAAUUCCUGUACUACUUGCCUUGGAAAUUAAGAAUCCUCUUAGACAGUCCUGAUGUGGGGUCCUGUGUUGGAGCCUUAGUCGCAUUACAGAAAGGCUUAGAAAACAGGCCAAAAGCCUGUUCCAUUCCGUCUCCACUUGGACAAUAAGAGGUGGUAGCACAUGAGGCUGUCUCCACUGUCAAGUCAUUUGGGGCUCCUCCUUCCACUGACUUAAGGAUCUUCACUUAACUGAGCCCCCUUAGACUUUUUGCAGAAUGGCUAUUCCCCUAGAAACUAGAGCACAUAAUGACACAUAACUGUACUCCCGGUAGGCUAGGAAUUGACCCGACAAUAAACUUUGAUAAUAAAGACAA